rnacentral:sRNA from 1 species
GAGCGCUAGAUGAGUCUCCGGAGACCGG